CAAAUGGCCGUGAAGAGGAGCAGUAGGACAUAUAUGCAUAAAAGAGAGCCGGCGGAUGGUGCGAGCCGGCAUGCAGGAUGUCUGAACUCGCCUUGGAGUCUGCGCAAUGAUUGCGCCGUUUUCCGCGUUAAGGAAUCAAGUUGAGCGCCUGAGCGCUAAUUUGGGUGGUACCGCGGGAAAAAUCCCGUCCCUUAG
rnacentral:ncRNA from 1 species